rnacentral:rRNA from 1 species
GGCUACAGCCAUGCCAGCCUGAAGGUGCCCAAGCUCAUCGGAUCUUGGAAGCUAAGCAGGGCAGAGUCUGGUUGGUAUUUGCAUGGGAAAACAUCACGUAUUGCUUUAAGCU